rnacentral:rRNA from 1 species
AUUGAACGCUGGCGGCAGGCCUAACACAUGCAAGUCGAACGAGUGGCGGACGGGUGAGUAAUGUCUGGGAAACUGCCGGAUGGAGGGGGAUAACUACUGGAAACGGUAGAUAAUACCGCAUACCAUCAGAUGUGCGCAGAUGGGAUUAGCUAGUUGGUGGGGUAACGGCUCACCAAGGCGACGUUCCCGAGCUGGUCUGAGAGGAUGACCAGCCACACUGGAACUGAGACACGGUCCAGACUCCUAGGGGAGGCAGCCGUGGUGAAUAUUGCACAAUGGGCGCAAGCCUGAUGCAGCCAUGCCACGUGUAUGAAGCAGGCCUUCGGUUUGCAAAGUACUUUCAGCCGGGAGGCGUUACCCGCAGAAGAAGCACCGGCUAACUCCGUGCCAGCAGCCGCGGUAAUUC